CCCCGUCAGAUGAACGCUAGCGGCAGGCCUAACACAUGCAAGUCGAGGGGUAACAUAGAGGAGCUUGCUCCUUUGAUGACGACCGGCGCACGGGUGCGCAACGCGUAUACAAUCUGCCCCCUACUGUGGGAUAGCCCAGAGAAAUUUGGAUUAACACCACAUGGUACCAUAUUACGGCAUCGUAUUUAUGGUUAAAGGUUACGGUAGGGGAUGAGUAUGCGUCCCAUUAGUUAGUUGGCGAGGUAACGGCUCACCAAGACCGCGAUGGGUAGGGGCCCUGAGAGGGGGAUCCCCCACACUGGUACUGAGACACGGACCAGACUCCUACGGGAGGCAGCAGUGAGGAAUAUUGGACAAUGGGCGGGAGCCUGAUCCAGCCAUGCCGCGUGCAGGAAGAAUGCCCUAUGGGUAGUAAACUGCUUUUAUACGGGAAGAAAAAGGGCUACGUGUAGCCCACUGACGGUACCGUAAGAAUAAGGACCGGCUAACUCCGUGCCAGCAGCCGCGGUAAUACGGAGGGUCCGAGCGUUAUCCGGAAUUAUUGGGUUUAAAGGGUCCGUAGGCGGGCCGAUAAGUCAGGGGUGAAAGUCUGCCGCUCAACGGUAGAACUGCCUUUGAUACUGUCGGUCUUGAGUUAUGGUGAAGUUGGCGGAAUAUGUAGUGUAGCGGUGAAAUGCAUAGAUAUUACAUAGAACACCGAUUGCGAAGGCAGCUGACUAACCAUAUACUGACGCUGAUGGACGAAAGCGUGGGGAGCGAACAGGAUUAGAUACCCUGGUAGUCCACGCCGUAAACGAUGGAUACUAGCUGUCCGGGUCCUUGAGACCUGGGCGGCCAAGCGAAAGU
rnacentral:rRNA from 1 species